rnacentral:rRNA from 1 species
UAGUUGGUGGGGUAAAGGCCUACCAAGGCGACGAUCAGUAGCGGGUCUGAGAGGAUGAUCCGCCACACUGGGACUGAGACACGGCCCAGACUCCUACGGGAGGCAGCAGUGGGGAAUUUUGGACAAUGGGGGCAACCCUGAUCCAGCCAUUCCGCGUGAGUGAAGAAGGCCUUCGGGUUGUAAAGCUCUUUCAGCUGGAACGAAACGGUACAUCCUAAUACGGUGUGCUAAUGACGGUACCAGCAGAAGAAGCACCGGCUAACUACGUGCCAGCAGCCGCGGUAAUACGUAGGGUGCGAGCGUUAAUCGGAAUUACUGGGCGUAAAGCGUGCGCAGGCGGAUUGUUAAGCAAGAUGUGAAAUCCCCGGGCUUAACCUGGGAAUGGCAUUUUGAACUGGCAGUCUAGAGUGCGUCAGAGGGGGGUGGAAUUCCACGUGUAGCAGUGAAAUGCGUAGAGAUGUGGAGGAACACCAAUGGCGAAGGCAGCCCCCUGGGAUGACACUGACGCUCAUGUACGAAAGCGUGGGUAGCAAACAGGAUUAGAUACCCUGGUAGUCCACGCCCUAAACGAUGUCAACUGGUUGUUGGGGGAGUGAAAUCCCUUAGUAACGAAGCUAACGCGUGAAGUUGACCGCCUGGGGAGUACGGUCGCAAGAUUAAAACUCAAAGGAAUUGACGGGGACCCGCACAAGCGGUGGAUGAUGUGGAUUAAUUCGAUGCAACGCGAAAAACCUUACCUACCCUUGACAUGUCCAGAACCCUGCAGAGAUGCGGGGGUGCCCGAAAGGGAAUUGGAACACAGGUGCUGCAUGGCUGUCGUCAGCUCGUGUCGUGAGAUGUUGGGUUAAGUCCCGCAACGAGCGCAACCCUUAUCAUUAGUUGCUACGCAAGGGCACUCUAAUGAGACUGCCAG